CAAAUACUCCCUCCGUCCAGAAAUACUUGUCAUCAAAAUGGAUAAAAGGAAAUGUAUCUAGACAUAUUUUAGUUUUAGAUACAUCUAUUUUUAUCCAUUUUGAUGACAAGUAUUUUCGGACAGAGGGAGUAGAAA
rnacentral:pre_miRNA from 1 species